rnacentral:rRNA from 1 species
GUCGAACCGUGCGAACGUUAUUCGGAUUCACUGGGCUUAAAGGGCGCGUAGGCGGGCCAUCAAGUCCGGGGUGAAAUACUUCGGCUCAACCGGAGAACAGCCUUGGAUACUGAUGGUCUCGAGGGAGAUAGGGGUGCGUGGAACUUCCGGUGGAGCGGUGAAAUGCGUAGAUAUCGGAAGGAACGCCGGUGGCGAAAGCGGCGCACUGGAUCUCUUCUGACGCUGAGGCGCGAAAGCUAGGGGAGCGAACGGG